rnacentral:miRNA from 1 species
UUCAACGGGUCUUUAUUGAGCA